AAAGAUUCAGCCAUGCAUGUCUAAGUACAUGUGUAUUUAACACGAAACCGCGUAUGGCUUAUUAUAACAGCUAAAAUUUACUUGAUUUCGACUUUUAUCCUACAUGGAUAACUGUGGUAAUUCUGGAGCUAAUACAUGCAUAAAAGAUAUUUCAUUUAUUGAAAUAUUGCGUAUAUUAGUAUUAAAACCAAGCAUUCUUCGGAAUGCUUUGUGUUGAAACUGAAUAUAUCAUGCUGAUCGUAUGGUCUUGUACCGACGACAUGUCAUUCAAGUGUCUGAUCUAUCAACUUUCUAUAUAAGUAUAUAGUACUUAUAUGGUUUUGACGGAUAACGGGGUAUUAGGGUACGACUCCGGAGAAAAUGCCUGAGAAACGGCGUUUACAUCCAAGGAAGGCAGCAGGCGCGAAAAUUACCCACUCUCAGUACGAGGAGGUAGUGACGAGAAAUGACAAGAUCUAUUCCUUCGGGGAUGGAUCAUUGGAAUGGUUUGAUUUUAAAAUCAUUAAAGAGUAUCAAUGAGAGGGCAAGUCUGGUGCCAGCAGCCGCGGUAAUUCCAGCUCUCAUACUGCAUUGAAUUGUUGUUGCGGUUAAAAAGCUCGUAGUUGGAUCUGUACAUGAUAGGUUAGUUCAUCCUUUGGAUUGUAACUAAUACUAAAUGCUUUUUAUUAGAUUUUUAUAUGUAACCGUAAGGUUAUAUAUAAUGUCUAAUGAGUUUACUUUGAAUAAAUCAGAGUGCUCAAAACAGGCGUAAGCUUGUAUGGUUUUGCAUGGAAUAAUAGAACAUGACUAUGGUUCAUGUUUUAUUGGUUUUACUUACCAUAGUAAUGAUUAAAAGGAACAAACGGGGGCAUCCGUAUCGCAGGGCGAGAGGUGAAAUUCGUGGACCCUUGCGAGACGAGCUACAGCGAAAGCAUUUGCCAAGAAUG
rnacentral:rRNA from 1 species